AUUGAACGCUGGCGGCAUGCCUUACACAUGCAAGUCGAACGGUAACAGGUCUUCGGAUGCUGACGGGUGGCGAACGGGUGAGUAAUACAUCCGAACGUGCCCGAGAGUGGGGGAUAACGAGGCGAAAGCUUUGCUAAUACCGCAUACGAACUCAGGAUGAAAGCAGGGGACCGCAAGGCCUUGCGCUCACGGAGCGGCCGAUGGCAGAUUAGGUCGUUGGUGGGAUAAAAGCUUACCAAGCCGACGAUCUGUAGCUGGUCUGAGAGGACGACCAGCCACACUGGGACUGAGACACGGCCCAGACUCCUACGGGAGGCAGCAGUGGGGAAUUUUGGACAAUGGGCGCAAGCCUGAUCCAGCCAUGCCGCGUGCAGGAUGAAGGCCUUCGGGUUGUAAACUGCUUUUGUACGGAACGAAAAGACUCUGGUUAAUACCUGGGGUCCAUGACGGUACCGUAAGAAUAAGCACCGGCUAACUACGUGCCAGCCGCCGCAGUAACAC
rnacentral:rRNA from 1 species